UGGGUUUGGUUAAAUGCAUCCUUUAUGGCACUAUGAUCUAUCCUUUCUUUGAAAGUUUUUGAACAGUGGAAAGACCCAUUUUGUUGCAUUUCCCCAUUCUUGUUUUUAAAAGAAAAAAUCCCAAGCCCUACAUAUGGCUUGUAUUGAACUUUUACAUUUGAAUUAAAGAUUGUUAAACAUAAAGCCUUCAUAUGUAUUACUUCAAAGUAAUUAUAACAAUGGAGUUUAGUCUGAGAAACAAUUUGAGCAUAAGAUUUAAUUUUAAAAGUAGGUUUAGGUCUACUUGCAUUCUAUUAACUAUCUUUCUGCGCUACUUUUGUUGGGCAAAAUGCACAGGAUUAUGAAAGGCUAUAGGUUCUUAGAGGUAGUGGUGGCUGUUAACACACAGCCUCAAGAUUGCCAUACCUGUUUUUACUCUUGGGUGGGGGUUAUAGCUUAAAUCUGAAGAGUUGAUCAUGCUGCACAAUGGAAACACUCCUUUCUCAAAAGUUUAGGAUGUUUCGAUGCUGUUGUCAGUUAAUUGUCAACUUCAUUGAAUCUCCUUCCAUUAGAACAAGAGACUUUUUGAUUCACUGUUAAGAGUGUUACUGUUGUCUGUGUACAAUGGGAGCUUGAUUUCCCCGUGUAAAGUUAGACUUCCUAACAGAAGCUAAAGAAAUUGAAUGGUUUGGCUUUGUUUUUAGUUAAGUUUCCAUUCAAGUCUGUACAUCAUAGAUUGGACUGUAGAAUGCCUUCAUCCUUUGCACAUUGUUCUUGGUGGUAAUUGGCCAAAGAAAAAUUAUAAAUGAAAUCUUUCUUAAUAUGCUGAAGUUUAGUAGUAUUGUGCCUGAGUACAAAAGGAGAGACCUAUUGAGUACUUUCUUUAUAGGAAACAAGAUAGUACUUUAAUGGGAAACUCUAGUAGAAUAUAAAAAGCAUGUCACCAAAUUCUGGUUGUGUGAUAGGCACAUGGUGUGCUAAUUAAGGAAAAGAAUCUCCUUAGAAAAUGCUAAUUUCUAUUCACACUUGGAAAUGGGUAGUUCUUCCAUAAUUAUAUCAAUGAGGAAGUUUUGCCCUAAGUCAUAAUAAUUGGUAAUACAAGAUUUUUCUGUAUGGAAAUAAGGGUCUCAUUUUGAAGGGAGUCUUUUACAAUUUGGUUGAACUGUUCAGGAGGAACUCUUUAAGAAUGAUAAUACAAGUAGGGGUGUUCAUCAGACACCCAAGGGUGAACUUGUGAAUGUAUGUGGGUGGGGGGGCUGGAGGGGAAAUGGGGAAGUCUGCCUAUAAAAUUAAUGUUUCAGUUUAUUUUUCAGAUUACAUGCCUUUCUUUAUAAGGGAUGCUGACACAGACCCCUAAAAUAAGCUUUUGGUAGUACUGUACCUUUGAAGAGUGGUGAAGGAUGCUAAUGGAUAAUCUGCUGAAAGUUGGGGCUUUGAUAGCCUUCUGUGGGCUGUAGAGAGCUAAACUUGGUUUAGCAAAUAAUGUUGCUUAGUUUCCACUGACAUUUGACUUUCAUCACUAAAACAGCAGUAUUCCAAGGUUGUAAGCUACUCAUAGAUUUGCAGUAAGUUACAAUGUAUAUACAUAACAGCUUUUAGUCUAAUGGGAAUUUAAAUAAUGACAUUUUCUAAAAGUUGACAGUGAAACUUGGGGUGGGAGAGGGAAGAUAAUUUUGAAUAUUUUAGCCAUUUUUUUUUCUUCAUUUAAGAGACCACCUACCCCUAUUUCCUCCUCUUCUCUGUUUCAGAGGAACCCUCUUUUUAAAGAACUUUCCUAAUCUUUAAAACUGCAUUCUCCUAAGACACUAGUGUAUUUAAUAGGUGUAUUAUAAACUUAAACCCACUGGCUCGAACUACUUAGUAAAACCAUAAUUCUUUUUGCCUAGAACAUUAAUUAAGCUCCUUUAAGAGGUGUGAUAAACACCACCACUCUAUAGAUGUCUUUUUAUACCACUAAUAUAAACAUACAAUGAUUUGGGAAAUUGUAAUGUUACGCCUGUGCAAUUCUUACAAGUGGCAUCUUAAUGGCAGAUAAAAACUUAGAUACUUGGCUUGGGCAAGCCACCAAGGUGUGGCAGAAUGUCUUGCGGUGUUCUUGGACUGCAAUUAUGCACUAUUAAAGUAGUGGCCUGCUACAUAACUGCAUUUAGCCAGCAUUUCUGCAGUGCGUAACUGUGAGGAACGUAGUACCGCAAAUGGCAAUGGACAUUAGGACCCGGAUGUAGUAUUCCUGCUUGCUCCAAGAUUCUCAUUGCCGACUGCAUACAGGUAGGUAACAAGCAAUAUAAUCUAACUUGGUGACUUGCUAUGUACUUUUAUCCGUGGGCAUUCUGACAUCACACUUCUGACCAUGAAAUUACAGUGCAGCACCUAACACUUGUAUGGUAAAGUUAGCUUACAUCAAAACUGCGUGGGUCUGGGGUUAGAGUUGUAAUUUGUUAGGCAGAAUUCAGUGCUCUUGUAGUUCUCAGAUAAAAAGUGCAAACUUCUGAUUCUUUGGCAUAUCUAACUCAGUUGUGUGGUUUUUCUUUAGUUGCAUUGUAACUGAAGAUAACAUGGAACACCAGUGGCAUGGGGGUGAGGGAACCAAACCAUACUUUGAAAUUAGGGUGCUUCUAGCACCCUAGCACGGACUGUAUAGCAUGUGAUAAUUAGUCUCUGGUAGCAAGCUGAUCUGCUUGCAGGUCAGCAAUACUAAUAAUUUCACUGUGCAAUCUUGGUAACAAUUCUGUAAGUUGAGUGAAUUAAGAUGAACUGCAGGAUUUUUUUUUUUUUUCUUGUAAUGUGAUUGGAGAUUUUUUUCAAACAUGGGCUUUAUGGGAAUGGACACCUUUGUUACUAAUGGGCUUAGAUGGGAAUCCGGUGUGAAUAGUUCAGGUUAUGUGACUUGUCUCAAAAUGUUUAUACUCUAAAUCUGGGGAAAGUGGUAUGAAACAUUGACUUGCUUUUAGCUGAUUACAUGUUGGAAUCAUUCCCAGUUACAAGACUUCGUCGUAUUUUAUAGAAUGACAGUACUUGUUCAGAGCAGUUUUUUGAACUUGGUUCCCUUAGCCUUAGGGAUGUGAUGUUACAGUCCAAAAUGCUUAAUGACAAGAAAACAAGUCUUCUGAUACACACUUUCUCUUGUUUUAAAACAAGCUUUGCAUCAAACUGUCAGACCUCAAUUCAAUUCCACUUUGGUUUCUGAGCUGGUUUUUAGUUAGCAUGCAUGAGAAACAGCUUUUAGAUUUAAUGCUUUCUGCUCUAAUAAAAAAGUUGGUUUAUCUUGCAUAAAUGCCGGUGAAAAUUUGAUGACAGAAUUUUCUUUCAUUUCAAGAAAAAUGGCUUGCUCUUUGGCAAGCAGGUUACAAGGUGGGGACAUUUGUAUUCAAAUUGUAAUCCACUCAAGUGAACAACUUUAUUCUCUAAAGAGCUAAUGGUGAUGAGUUUAGCUUCUCCAUAUAUUACUGUAAUGCAAAUCAAGCAGUGAUCAUUGUCAGUGACACUAGUGUCACUAAAUUGCAUAGAACUCUGAUGGGAACUUUGCAGGGUCAUAAUUCUUUAAAUAAAUCGGCAGCCAGUACUUGCUGCCGUGGUUUAGAGAUUUAAAAAUGAAAGAGAAUGUACUUGGUAUAAUGUAUAAGGAAUAUCAUUGGGGUGGGAGUUAAUUUUGCUUUGGUCUGCUUCAAGAUUAGGUUACUACACUUCAGAAUGAGAAGCCAUUUGACUCAGUAGUUAAAAUUUCUAUGUAGCUAUAAAUUGUGAUGCUUAGUAUAGUGUCUUCUUACAAAGCAUUUAAUCAAAAAGUUGGGAAUUAAGUGGAUUUCAGUAAUGAUAUAUUGAGGUGCUUGCAUUGUAUUUCAUAACCUUUUUUACAAACAAAAAUUAUUGUUUUCAAUGGGAAGAGUGAGUUCAGAGGUGUGAUGUCAGAAUGUAUUCGUACUGUUAGGCCCUUGGAACAGAUACCGGUGCUUUCUGAAAGAUGAAAGAAAUGCCAUGGGUACUCUUGAUGCAAGGUUGCAAAUCUACAAAGACUGCAUAAUAGUCUCUCCCUAAUAGAGAUGCGUGUGACUAGUUUUGGACUUUUAACCUUAAUGGGGGUUGCAUGUCUCCUAUUGUUAAUCAUUGUCAGCUGCAGUGACAAGAUACACAGUCCUGCAUUUACUGCCUUUUCCUCAAUGAUUUUGGACAGGCUUUAGAGAGAUGGGGUGUUUGUUCUGGGCCUUUACUUGGUUUUGGCUUUAACUGAUCAUGUUUCAGUGCUGUCAGCUAGUGCAGUUUUCAAAUGGCUGCCUAUUAGGGAAAGAAUUGAGGAUUUGACUGUUUCUAAUCAUCUGUCAUUGCUGCUAGAUAAUGAUUUGCAAUUUUUAAGACUGUGGAAAUGUCACAGUUGUUGAUAGACCAAACAAAAGUUGCAUUUGAACACCAGUGCUGAAACGUUUCUGUUUUUUGAGAGUGAAAUAUGGGGGCUGGACGUAGAAUAGAGUAAGAGUAAUCUGGAGAAUGGGGAAAAGAAUGCAAAACGAUAUAGUAUCCCUUAUGAUGGUACAUGUGCAACAGGGAGCUCUAUUUCAUGUAGCUGUGGCAGUAAUGGUACACGGAGGAAGAAAUACUGGGAACUUGAAUUAAGGCUUAUUGGAAUAUUUUUGUGCACUGUGGCCCUGCUAGGCAUAUAGUGAAGGUGAAUGUCUUUCUCCCUCUGAAAGACAUGGGUUCCUUGCUGUCCCAGUAAGGCAUGGCUUUCUUACCCUAACUUAAAGUUCAGGACUUGAAAGGAGAAGUGUGAGGCAGUACAUUAGGAUUGCAGGGCAAUAUCUGCAGUGUGUGUACUGUGGGAAAAGGGUGAAAGGACAAUGGGAGGACUCCUGCUGAAGGUGGUUAGCCCACCGAACAUGGAAGACAUAUCUGAAUGGGGGAACAGGGUAUGGACUUUCAUAUGAAGAGAACUCAUAAAAACUCCUUUGGGUGAGGUAAACGUUGUCACAUACCUUCACAUAAGGGAUAGUAUAUUUUGGAUUGCAGUCAAAACUUCACUGUGCUCAGACUGGUGAAAGUAGGGUUAGGCUUUUGCCUUUUAAGGAAGAUACAAUUUUCAUUCUAAUUCUAGUGUCUACUUAGAAUGAUUUUAGAUUCCCCCACCCACCCAUGAAGUUUCAUUCUAUUGUUUUUUAUGCUAUAACUUAUCCCAAUCUUUUGUCUCUGGAAUUUUACUCUUUAAAGUUAACUAGCAUUUUCAAACUUAUCUUAAGCCUUUGUCUUAUAUUAACAUUUUUGUAUUAUUCUUUAGGUAACAAUGAUUGAUGUUGGCUGAUGAGGACUGCUCAUUCACUUGAAGUGGAUGUGAUAGUUUGUUCUCAAGACAUCAACCAGGAUGAGCAGAGCAGGAAAGCCACAAAUUGUUACACUGAUAAAAGUAUCUGGGAGCUGGGCCAGCUGUGUAUAGGAAACCAGAAGAGUACAAAGUGCAGUGGAGAAUUUGCCAUUAAUAAACACAUUAAAAUAUC